GGGUCGAAGAAAGGAAGGGAUCAAACCAAGCAAAGGCAAUAGGAGCGCACGACUCCGGUAAAUCCCGCUCUUGGCGAUGCGAGCUCGGACCGAACACACUACAUAGCCCUUUAUGCGCUUCCGGUUAAAGUCGUCUUUUGUAAAUGGGUCAAAACGUUUUCAUAAUGUAAAUAUUAAAUUUAUGUCUAGGAUGUUUCCUAAGUAAGUUUGGAUUUUAAAUCUUG